rnacentral:rRNA from 1 species
GACGAACGCUGGCGGCGUGCCUAAUACAUGCAAGUUGAGCGCUGAAGGUUGGUACUUGUCCCGACUGGCUGAGCAGCGAACGGGUGAGUAACGCGUGGGGAAUCUGCCUUUGAGCGGGGGACAACAUUUGGAAGCGAAUGCUAAUACCGCAUAAAAACUUUAAACACAAGUUUUAAGUUUGAAAGAUGCAAUUGCAUCACUCAAAGAUGAUCCCGCGUUGUAUUAGCUAGUUGGUGAGGUAAAGGCUCGCCAAGGCGAUGAUACAUAGCCGACCUGAGAGGGUGAUCGGCCACAUUGGGACUGAGACACGGCCCAAACUCCUACGGGAGGCAGCAGUAGGGAAUCUUCGGCAAUGGACGAAAGUCUGACCGAGCAACGCCGCGUGAGUGAAGAAGGGUUUCGGAUCGUAAAACUCUGUUGGUAGAGAAGAACGUUGGUGAGAGUGGAAAGCUCAUCAAGUGACGGUAACUACCCAGAAAGGGACGGCUAACUACGUG